rnacentral:rRNA from 1 species
AGGGUUCGAUUCUGGCUCAGGAUGAACGCUGGCGGCGUGCCUAACACAUGCAAGUCGAGCGAGAAAUUUAAAGCAAAACUUCGGUCUAGCGAUAAAAUGGAAAGCGGCGGACGGGUGAGUAACGCGUAGGCAACCUGCCCCUUACAGAGGGAUAGCCUCGGGAAACCGGGAUUAAAACCUCAUAACGCAUUUUAAACACAUGUUUAAGGUGCCAAAGAUUUAUCGGUAAGGGAUGGGCCUGCGUCUGAUUAGCUAGUUGGUAAGGUAACGGCUUACCAAGGCAACGAUCAGUAGCCGACCUGAGAGGGUAAUCGGCCACAUUGGAACUGAGACACGGUCCAAACUCCUACGGGAGGCAGCAGUGGGGAAUAUUGCACAAUGGGCGAAAGCCUGAAUGCAGCAACGCCGCGUGAGCGAAGAAGGCCUUUGGGUCGUAAAGCUCUGUCGGAAGGGAAGAAACAAAUGACGGUACCUUCUGAGGAAGCCCCGGCUAACUACGUGCCAGCCGCCGC